GACAGAGGUGCCAAGCGUUAGGCGGAAUCACUGGGCUUAAAGCGUGUGUAGGCGGAUGCCUAAGUAUCUUGUGAAAUCCCACGGCUCAACCGUGGAACUGCUUGAUAUACCGGGUGUCUUGAGCCAUCUAGGGGCUACCGGAACAAAUGGUGGAGCGGUGAAAUGCGUAGAUAUCAUUUGGAACGCCAAUGGUGAAAACAGGUAGCUGGGGAUGUGCUGACGCUGAGACACGAAAGCCAGGGGAGCAAACGGG
rnacentral:rRNA from 1 species